UAGGGAAUCUUCGGCAAUGGACGGAAGUCUGACCGAGCAACGCCGCGUGAGUGAAGAAGGUUUUCGGAUCGUAAAGCUCUGUUGUUAGAGAAGAACGUUGGUAGGAGUGGAAAAUCUACCAAGUGACGGUAACUAACCAGAAAGGGACGGCUAACUACGUGCCAGCAGCCGCGGUAAUACGUAGGUCCCGAGCGUUGUCCGGAUUUAUUGGGCGUAAAGCGAGCGCAGGCGGUUCUUUAAGUCUGAAGUUAAAGGCAGUGGCUUAACCAUUGUACGCGGUGGAAACUGGAGGACUGGAGUGCAGAAGGGGAGAGUGGAAUUCCAUGUGUAGCGGUGAAAUGCGUAGAUAUAUGGAGGAACACCGGUGGCGAAAGCGGCUCUCGGGUCGGUAACUGACGCUGAGGCUCGAAAGCGUGGGGAGCAAACAGG
rnacentral:rRNA from 1 species